AUUCAAAGCCUGAGAGUAUGUCUUCCAUUUCUACUAUUCUAUUGGUGAAGCUUGCCUUGAUUUCAACAUUUUUCAUUACCACUUUUACCUCAGUUGGGUUUUCAGUUCCACUUUCAUGUCUUGAAUUAUCUUUUUUCAUUUCAGUCUACUAUAUGCUUACAUGGAUUUCAUUAAAGGGUUUAUCUCCUCUUUAAGAUCCCUGAACAUGCUCAUAAUAGCUAUUUUGAAGUCCUUUCUUGUGCUUCAGCUAUAUUGCAUUUCUCAGGGCCUACUGUAAUAAGACUGUUUGGCUCUAGUGGAGCCAUACUUUCCUGGCUGUUAUUAAUUACUAUAAAAUGCUGCUAUUGUUUUUAUGCUGGCAUCUGGGCAUCUGGGUUUGGGAUUAUUGUGGUGAUAUUAGGUCUUGUCUUUGUUUUGUGGGAGUUCCAUUCCUAGUUUUCCAUUACUCUUUUUAGUUCUUAGCAUAAUGUUGUGUCUGCAGGUUGCCUGGAAGGGUCUGCUUCUGAAAUCUGGGUGUGACCACUAAGGGUUGAAGGUAGAAAUUGUUUCUAGGUACUGGAAGCUAACACUAAGAAAUGUGGAUGAACUAGAAGGGCUGUGAGAAUACACAAAAGGGAGGAAAGCUGGGUGUGCCACCAGGAUCUGGAUAAACUCCUAGAUAUGGAGAAGAGAAGAAGCCACAGAAGAUUGUCUGCUUCAAAGCUGAGAGUAAAAUUGGAUGUUUGAAAUUGGAGAAGAGGAGAGAAAGUGAUGCUCACCUACCUGAUUCCUUUGGAGACUACCUGGCCAUGGUGGCCAAGGAAUCAGGUUAACUAUUUUAUCAACUGUUAAGGCAAAGAAAGUUAUUGAAGCCUCCAGUUAUACAUGUAGAUUUGCUUAAAAUUGUAAAAUCCUAUCACUGUUUGCAUCACAAAUUUAGCAACAGUUUUGCCUGGUACAACUACCUUUAGGAUUUCUGUGACAUAUUGUUGUGUGAACUUUUUCAAUAUUUAAUACCUCAGUCUAUGAUUAUUUUCUUUUACCGUCAUCUACUUUGUCUGUAGUUAGUAAGUGUAACUGUUGUGAUCAUAAAAAGAGACAGAGCUAUAAGAAUAUGUUCUAUGGUUUUGGGGGAAGGUGGUGCCUCAGUAGGCCCAUGCUGAGGCAUCUCCUCCCCCUGAUAGACCAGACACACACCAGUCUAGCAUAGAGUUUAUUUAGGGCAGGUGGAGGGGGAGUUAAGAGAGUAGUAGAGGCAGAGAAAAUCAGAAAGAAGAAGAGAGUAGAGAAGUAAAGGCUGGCCAUGGCCACUUGGAGAGAGGGGGUAGAAGAGAAUGUGAAGAGAGGAGCAAGAGGGCAAGAGAGGCAAGAGUUUAAAGGAGAGAGGGAGGACCAAGCAGCCUAUUUUAUAGUGGACCAGGUCUACCUGGCUGUUGCCAGGUUACUGUGGGAAGGAGCACACCUGGCUGAUGCCAGGCAUCUGUAGGGGUGGAGUCCAGACAGAAUACCAACAAUAACUACUUCUUUUUUUAUUGAAUAAUAUUUGAGUGAUAUAAAUCUAUGUAUACUUUUACUUUCAGUGUGUUCAUCUCAUAUUUCAAUUGGACAUCAUAUAAACAGGAUACAGUGUGGUCAUAUUUUUAAUCUACUCUACCAACUCACAAUGUUGUUAAUUUCCAUAUAUAAAAUAUUUAAAUUGAGACUGAUUAUUGAUAUGUUAGGAGACAAUCUUGCUUCUGUGCUCUGCUCUCUGUAUUCUCAGUUUUCCUUGUCUAUCUUAUCUUUCUGAUCUUCUGAGUUUACUUGAUAAUCUUUCCAUUACAUUUGUAUGAAUAUUUUAAUAUUACUCCUAGUAUUACUUUUAUAGCUUUUAACAUUAUUUCUACUUUAUCACAUAUAUACAGUUUAUGUCCAUCUAAUAAUAUCCUUUUGUUAUUAGAUUAAAAUGUUGAAACCUGUCUAUGACAAUACCAGCCUGAAUGUACCCAAUUUCAUCUUGUCGGAACUAUUGAAACCUACCUCUCCUUCUGUGUUCCUAUUUUUAGGUCUGUACAAUGGGAUUCAAUAAUAGAAAAACUUUCUCAAUCAAUGGCAUACACUUUCUCUAACCAGAAAAAUAUAGAAAAGUAACUA
rnacentral:lncRNA from 1 species